rnacentral:rRNA from 1 species
UACGUAGGGCGCAAGCGUUGUCCGGAAUUAUUGGGCGUAAAGAGCUCGUAGGCGGUCUGUCGCGUCGGCUGUGAAAUCCCGAGGCUCAACCUCGGGUCUGCAGUCGAUACGGGCAAACUAGAGUAUUGCAGGGGAGACUGGAAUUCCUGGUGUAGCGGUGAAAUGCGCAGAUAUCAGGAGGAACACCGGUGGCGAAGGCGGAUCUCUGGGCCUGUCCUGACGCUGAGGCGCGAAAGCUAGGGGAGCGAACAGG